rnacentral:rRNA from 1 species
CCUACGGGUGGCAGCAGUGAGGAAUAUUGGUCAAUGGCCGGAAGGCUGAACCAGCCAUGCCGCGUGAAGGUCAGUGCCCUAUGGGCGUUAAACUUCUUUUGUGCGGGAGCAAUAAUGGUCACGUGUGGCCAGACGAGAGUACCGUACGAAUAAGCAUCGGCUAACUCCGUGCAAGCAGCCGCGGUAAUACGGGGGAUGCAAGCGUUAUCCGGAUUUAUUGGGUUUAAAGGGUGCGUAGGCUGGGAGGUAAGUCAGCGGUGAAAUGCCCCCGCUCAACGGGGUGAAGUGCCAUUGAUACUGGCUAGCUGGAAUGCGGAUGCCGUGGGAGGAAUGUGUGGUGUAGCGGUGAAAUGCAUAGAUAUCACGCAGAACACCGAUUGCGAAGGCAUCUCACGGAUCCGCGAUUGACGCUGAUGCACGAAAGCGUGGGUAUCAAACAGGAUUAGAUACCCUAGUAGUC